CUACGGGUCGCUCCAGUGAGGAAUAUUGCACAAUGGGGGGAACCCUGAUGCAGCAACGCCGCGUGGAGGAUGACGCAUUUCGGUGUGUAAACUCCUUUUAUAUGUCAAGAAAAUGACGGUAGCAUAUGAAUAAGCGCCGGCUAACUCCGUGCCAGCAGCCGCGGUAAUACGGAGGGUGCAAGCGUUACUCGGAGUCACUGGGCGUAAAGGACGCGUAGGCGGGUUGGAAAGUCAGGUGUGAAAUCCUACAGCUUAACUGUAGAACUGCACUUGAAACUUCUAAUCUAGAGUAUGGGAGGGGGAGAUGGAAUUAGUGGUGUAGGGGUAAAAUCCGUAGAUAUCACUAGGAAUACCUAAAGCGAAGGCGAUCUCCUGGAACAUUACUGACGCUAAGGCGUGAAAGCGUGGGGAGCAAACAGGAUUAGAUACCCCGGUAGUC
rnacentral:rRNA from 1 species